UACAGAGGCCUCGAGCGUUAGGCGGAAUCACUGGGCUUAAAGCGUGUGUAGGCGGACCCCUAAGUACCUUGUGAAAUCCCACGGCUCACCCGUGGAACGGCUGGGUAUACUGGGGGUCUUGAGCCACCUAGGGGCGAGUGGAACAAAUGGUGGAGCGGUGAAAUGCGUAGAUAUCAUUUGGAACGCCAAUGGUGAAAACAACUCGCUGGGGGUGUGCUGACGCUGGAGGUACGAAAGCGUGGGGAGCGAACAGG
rnacentral:rRNA from 1 species